ensembl:ncRNA B0403.11 ncRNA
UUCAAAAAACAAUAGCACAAAGUUGACUGGGAGGUCAUGACAGCUAGAAAAACGGGUGGGUGAUGGCCGAGCCUGACGUCUCCUGGUUUUUUCUCCUCCUUUCCAGUCGAAACAUUUUUGCGUAGUUUUU